UUUAUAUUUGCCUUAAUAAUUAUUAUUAUUUCAUAAAUUUCUUAGUGCCCAUUCUGCUUGUUUCUACGUGCAACAAGAAGCCUAAACUCAAAGAAGUCUUCUCCCUCUUAACUUCUAUGUUUCUUUGUUGAAAGAAACGAAGAAAGAAAAUCUAUAUGGAGAAGGAAGAGGCAGAGAUUGAUCGUUUACAAAUAGACAUGCUGGCUUAUAUAUUUGGUUUGAUAACUCCCUUCACUGAUUUAGCCCAGGCAAGUUGUGUUUGCAGGAAAUGGAAAGAAGGGGUGAAGCAAUAUUUGGCACAAAGAAACAGCUUGAGCUUUCUGGUUGGAAGAUGGAUGAUGACUCCACUGCCCGUCUUGUUCGCCUUGCUUACAACCUGAAAGAACUCGACAUGAGCCGGUGGGGUUGCCAGAUAACUGACAAUGGACCGGACCAAAUUUAUUGGGCAAACUGAAAUCCAUGUCUACGGGGCAUGGCCAGGAUCACCAACAGGGGUGUCGUUAAACUGGCAUGUGAUAGACGAUAACUGUAACUUUGAUUAGUGUAGAACUUCAUGUGGUAAGCUUUGGUGCCUGUACUAGUCUCCAAUCAUGCAAAAUUAUUCAACCUUGAAGUAUUUCGUAGCUUUCUUCAAGCUUCAACAGAUUUCAAGGGCCAACUCCUAGCAACACCUGGACACUGGUGGUACUUUUAUCAGAGAUGAGUCUUUAUUUGCUAUCGCAGAUAGCUUUCCACAUUUAAAGGUGAGUUCCCUGAUGACAUCACCCCGAAUUCCAUUUUGAACAUAUUUUUAGAUGCUUCCAUGUUUAUUUGUCAAAUGGCAGUGAUGGUCUAACAAUUGAACUGCUCGAAGGAUGAAAUCUUGCUUAACUGAUGUUAAUACUGGUCUCUAGAAAGUGAUCUUACUGAAAAUGACUUUGCAUCUUAUUUCGUUCUAGACUGUUGUCCUAUGGAGCUACCGCCAUGUAACAGAAAUCGGUCUUCUUUCUUUCUUAACGUAUGGGGAACCAGAAUUCCUGUACAUUUCUUCAUUGAAUUGCCUAACAUUAGUCCUGCCCUUCAAAUUUAACCCCCUUAAGCACUAUUAAACAGUGUUCAUUGCUCCUGUAUGGUUAUUAUUUCUGCUACAUGUUUCAAUCAUUAUCAUGAGCCUAUGGUUCCAAUAAACAGCUGGGAAUAUCCUUCAGAUUCUUCCUCUGUACCAAUGAAGUUAAUUAUUCCUAUCCGUAAAUUAUGAAAUUUGGCUUUGUAUAGUAUACGUCAAGAUUUGAGCUUUAUGCAGAUGAAUCUUCUGGGUUUUCAA